rnacentral:rRNA from 1 species
GAAGGCAAGCGGAUCUCUUAAAGCCGUUCUCAGUUCGGACUGUAGGCUGCAACCGCCUACACGAAGCUGGAAUCGCUAGUAAUCGCGGAUCAGCACGCCGCGGUGAAUACGUUCCCGGGCCUUGUACACACCGCCCGUCACACCAUGAGAGUCUGUAACACCCAAAGCCGGUGGGAUAACCUUUAUAGGAGUCAGCCGUCUAAGGUAGGACAGAUGAUUAGGGUGAAGUCGUAACAAGGUACC